ACUGUUAUUAUUAUUCAAGAUCACGUUCCUACGUAACGUAAAAAAAACAAUACCAUCGGUGAUACGCAGUUAAAACUUUGCAAACACAAGCGGCGACAAGUCGAGUCUAAAUUUGCAGCUGCCGAAACUGGAAUAUACUAACUGGAACAAUGCAGUAUUUUGCGACAACACUCUUUACGGUUUGCGCAUGCGCUGUGUUCAGCGUUUACUGUCAGCAGCAAGGAUCAGCCCAGCCAGCGCAACAGCCAUUCGUGGCGCCUAUGUCGGCACCAACACAGAUGGUCCAACCCUAUAUGUACAACAGCUUCUACCCACAAAGACCAGCUAACCAGGGACUGUUCCAUGGAAAUAACUGGCAUCGCCUCCUUAUAGGCUGGUACAGAGAAGGGCUUAUCGAUAUUAUGGACUUACUUAAUUUGGCAUAGAAUAAAAAUCAAAUUGGAAUCUAAACCGCUCCUGUCAUUGCUGAUUAUAUUAUAAGAUCGUUCCAUCGCUCAAUGCAUCAUACGUGUAUAUAUAAUGUGUAUAAAAUAACUCAAUCAUUUUUGUAAUUAUGUAUUAGAAAUAUAUAUUUACUUGU
rnacentral:lncRNA from 1 species